GGAGCAACCCAAAACGAGAGUGCGCUUUGGCUACACACCCACCGACCAUGAACAGGACCAGCAAGAGUGAGCAGCGUGUGUUUAUUUUUUCCUCUCGGUCGCAAUUUGAAAAAGGAGGAUUACAUAUCUUGGACUACUAGCAUGGACUUCAUUUAUAAGUAAAGCGGACGAGGAGGAGGAGGCAGAGGACGAAGAUGUAUCCAUGGCUUCGGCUUUGCACCCAUCUCCAGAUACAUCCUCCUUCUUUAUCUGGAACAGAGACUGGAUGUAUUCUUCUCUGGGACAAACAGGCUCAACUUUGCCCGUCUUCCCGAGAGCCUUGCCCUCCUCUUGGCUUUCCGCGCCGUCCUCCUCUUCCUCGUCCUCCUGCUUUUUCACUUCCAUUUUGCCAUCCUCUUGGCCGGGACCGGGACAGUCCGGGGGGGCGAGCUGGGAGCCGGGAUUAGCGCCGCUGCUGACAGAGGCUGGAGAAGACGCCUGAGCGUCUGCUGUUACAGGAGGCUUUGGAGACGCCUGCAAAGCAACCGGGGUUAAAAGAUCAGGAGACAAACUAAAAAAAUAAAGAUAAAAAAAUCACGUGGAGCCUCGAUUUACGGACUUUCCGAUCGAGCCAAAUAUGUCACGUUCAUUCAUUUUGUGUGCCGCCUGCAGCCAGUUUUGGGUGGGGUGGCUGCCCUGAACACUUCUCAAUGUGUGUGUGUCCCUUCUAGGGAUGAUGUUCGUUAAGAAAUUAUCGAGUUCGAGCCCAUUAUCGAAUCCUCUCAUCGAAUCGAAUCCAGAUAGGUUGUUGUGUGUGCACUGAGUUCCAAAAGCCAUAGAUCAGGGGUCACCAACCUUUUAGAAACCAAGAGCUACUUCUUGGGUACUGAUUAAUGCAAAGGGCUACCAGUUUAAUACACACAUAAAUAAAUUGCCAGAAAUAGCCAAUUUGCUCAA